AGAGUUUGAUCAUGGCUCAGGACUAACGCUGGCGGCGUGCCUAACACAUGCAAGUCGAACGAGGUAGCAAUACCUAGUGGCAGACGGGUGAGUAACACGUGGUCAACCUGCCUCCGUGUGGGGGAUAACUAGCCGAAAGGUUAGCUAAUACCGCAUACGAUCGUUUGAGGGCAUCCUCGGACGAUGAAAGGAGCAAUCCG
rnacentral:rRNA from 1 species